GCUGGGCAUGGUGGCUCAUGCCUGUAAUCCCAGCACUCUGGGAGGCCGAGGCAGGUGUGUCACCUGAGGUCAGGAGUUCAAGACUAGCCUGGCCAACAUGGUGAAACCCCGUCUCUA
ensembl:misc_RNA Metazoa_SRP Metazoan signal recognition particle RNA